rnacentral:rRNA from 1 species
GCUUAGCCUUAAACAUUGAUUAUAACAUCCGCCCGGGAAUUACGAACAUUAGUUUAAAACCCAAAGGACUUGGCGGUGCUUAACAUCCACCUAGAGGAGCCUGUUCUAGAACCGAUAACCCCCGUUCAACCUCACCCUCCCUAGUCCGCCUAUAUACCGCCGUCGUCAGCUUACCCUGUGAAGGACUAAUAGUAAGCGCAAUUGGUACAACCCAAAACGUCAGGCCGAGGUGUAGUGCAUGAGAGGGGAAGAAAUGGGCUACAUUCGCUCGAGCAUUGAAAGAAGGAGGAUUUAGCAGUAAGUGGAAAGUAGAGUGUUCCACUGAAACCGGCUCUUAAGCGCGC